AUGAUGGCUUCGGGGACUGUGGGGUCAUCCAGAACCACAAUGCCGUCUUGAAAGAGAUGGUUGGGUCGGUGGCAACAAGGUCAGGGUUGUUGAGGAGGUCAGAGUUAAUGGCCUGUCCUGCUGGGCCGUAAUUGUAAUUGUAGGAAAUUUGGAUGGGGCCUCGGCCGUAAUAGUACUUGCCGGCAGCGCAGGGCCACUGCGUGCUCUGAACACAGUAGUUCGGAGGGUUUCCUUGCUCCUGUUUGAAACAGUAGCCCCAAGCGUAUUGCCCGUCCGGUGCAGUCGACCACCCACCAGUGGUUUCGUGGGAGGUCUGAGCCAAGAAAGCAGCUAUCUCCCUUUUCUGAGUGUCGGCAUCCCCG
rnacentral:misc_RNA from 1 species